UACGUAGGGUGCGAGCGUUGUCCGGAAUUAUUGGGCGUAAAGGGGAGGUAGGUGGUUUCGUUUGUCUGGGGUGAAAGCCUUGAGCUUAACUCAAGAAGUGCCUCGGAAACGGCGAAACUCGAGUACUGGAGAGGGUCGUGGAAUUCCCGGUGUAGCGGUGAAAUGCGUAGAGAUCGGGAGGAACACCAGAGGCGAAGGCGGCGACCUGGACAGUUACUGACACUCAACUACGAAAGCGUGGGGAGCAAACAGG
rnacentral:rRNA from 1 species